AUGGUGGGCGCUGGUCGGGAGCGCGCCAAGGCCCCUUCGUCGGCGCGUGGUCUGAGGUCUUCAAUUCCAGACGUACCUCUCCGCCGAGCGUUGCUGGACAGUAUGUCCACACCGCCGGGCCCUUCUUCGUCGACCGCGAUGCCCAGCAGGGGACGAGGUAGGAAGAGAGGAGGUGGGGCACGUGGUCGCGGGAGAGGAGGUAGGGUGACUGCUACGGCGCCUUCCUCGCCGCCACCCCCAGCUGUUUCACCCGAGCACGUGACUGCUAGGGUGGACUCGUCCGAGGAGGAGGCUACACGGACUCCGGUCCACGAGCCUCCGGUCCACGGGUCUUGGGCCCACGAGCCUCGGGUCGACUGGCCUUCGGCCCACGAGAGUUCGGCCCACGAGACACCGGAGGAGCACACGUCCGGAUGGGGUACCUGGCCGGAUCAGCCCGAGGAGCCGAGUGGCCAUGCUGAUGAUGGCGGGGAGCCGACUGAUCUUGAGGAGGAGGGUGGCACCGUCUACCAGCGUGGUGCUACAUGGCUCCCGUCCAUGCCGGCGACCCGCGAGCAGAGGUGGUUGAUCUUCCCUGAUGGGGAGAGGGGUUGGGACCACCAUCAUAGUGUCCGCCGGCCCACCUCCGUCCUUGGAGUUCUUUGCCGGCAAAACUUCCCGGGGUUUGUCACGUUGCCUGGUGAGGGUCGGCUUCCAGAGCUUGGGUUGAGCUGGGAGCACUACGUGGCUGCCCCGGCCCCGCCGGAUGUCAUUAUCGACGGUGUCGUGUGCGACACGAGGGCAGACAUGGUGAUCAGGACGUUCUGGACAUUCUACAGGUGUGAGGAGGGAUACGAGGAGGACAGCGCAAAUGUUAUCCAGAACGUCUGCAAGCGCCUACUCCAGAACUUACGGCACGAGGCUCGGGUGCAGGCUGUUCGAGACUACUACGCCUUGCGUGGUAUCAAGAAGACCAAGCCGGCGUGCCGCGAUAAGUUCCUGAGUAAGGAGCAGUACAUGAAGGCGCCUCCGAGAUGGUGUGCGGAUCGGAUGGAUUGUUGGGAGGUGUUCGUCGAUGAGUGGUGCUCACAAGAAUGGCUAGCCCUCCACAACCAGGCCAAGGACAAACGUGCCCAAAUGGAAGGUGUGCCACACCAUCAAGGCAGCUCAAACUUAUAUCAGUUCGGGCGCAACUGGGCACGCCACAAUAAGGCGGAUAAGGUGCCAGAGGUGUACGACCUGUAUGCCAUGGCCCACACUGGCUCUUUCAAGAAAGUCAAGGCUUUCUCUCAGUCUGACCUCGAUGAUGCAAACAACUUCACCAACAUCUCCUCCCACAACAAGCUCGUGAGAUAUAGAGAUGAGGGGAAGGCGAGGAAAGGGGAGGACUUUAACCCGAGCCAGGGUCCCAUUGAUCCAGAGCUGGUGAUGAUAUCUGGUGGCGGGAGGUCCCAUGGCUCCAUAGCCAUUGGAGAUGGACUUAUCCGUUGUCCUAGCACUCUCCCGGAGAUCAAGGCGCGCCAGUCGAGCUCCGCUCCUGAGAUAAGGCCUCGUGAAUGGCCAGUGCAACUCGCCAUCAAGGCUGCUAUACAGACUGAGAGAGAUAGAACGGAGAAACUUCUGGCGGAGGCGGCGGAGAGGCAGCGGGAGAUGGAGGAGAGGACGAGAAAGAUGAUGGAGGAGGAGAGGGCACGGAAUGACAUGCAGGCAAGGGCCAUGUACGAGCUCCUUGUGUCUGUGUGCGAGAAGUCCGGUCAGCCCGCUCCGCCGAUGCCAGUGAUUGCUCCUGGGAGCACGCUUAACUCCAGAAACGCAUCGCACGAUCCUUCUCCAGGUAGCGGCACUAGCCACCCCGCUCCUACACCUCCCUGA
rnacentral:rRNA from 1 species